AUUCUUCACCAAAAAGUUCAAAAAAAAAAAAAAAAAAAAAAGCAAAAGCACAAACAUACCAUUACAUAUUCUCUCCAUUUCUGUUUUCUCUCUCCUUAAUGUUUCUCUUCCUUAUCUUUUCUUUCUCUCUUUUCUCUUGGAAAGUGAAGAAAGAGUGUCUGUGUUUGAUUUCAUGCAAACUUGAGCUAGGGCUUCUGCAAUAUCCAUCUUUUGAUCUUCACUCUACUACUUCGUCUUCUUCUUCUUCAGGGUUUAAGCUUUCAGAUCUGAGGAUUUGAAGGUUUUUCUGCAAGUAGGUUUGAGUUCUAAAAAUCCAUAGAAUCCAUACUCGUUUUAGUAGCUGGAUCAUCAAAGCACCAAACUGUUCAACCUCAACUUGAAAAACUUAUAUACUUGCACUUAUUGAGAUUUGGCCUUCUCUCUCGAUUGAACCCACAAGAUGCAGAGGCCUCCGCCAGAGGAAUUUGUAUUGAAGGAGACCAAACCCCAUCUGGGAGGGGGAAAGAUCUCGGGUGACAAGCUCACAAGCACCUAUGAUCUUGUUGAGCAGAUGCAAUAUCUCUAUGUGCGCGUUGUUAAGGCCAAGGACUUGCCUGGUAAAGAUGUUACAGGUAGCUGUGACCCUUAUGCGGAAGUUAGGCUUGGAAACUACAAAGGUACCACUCGGCAUUUUGAGAAGAAGUCCAACCCUGAGUGGAACCAGGUGUUUGCAUUCUCAAAGGAUCGCAUUCAGGCCUCAGUGCUUGAGGUAACUGUCAAAGAUAAAGACUUUGUGAAGGAUGAUUUCAUGGGUCGUGUUUUGUUUGAUUUGAAUGAGAUACCAAAACGUGUACCACCAGAUAGUCCAUUGGCACCACAGUGGUAUAGAUUGGAGGAUAGGAAAGGAGAUAAAGUUAAGGGCGAAAUCAUGUUAGCAGUAUGGAUGGGGACACAGGCAGAUGAAGCUUUCCCAGAAGCUUGGCAUUCUGAUGCAGCUUCAGUAAGUGGAAUGGAUAGUCUUGCCAAUAUUCGUUCAAAGGUAUAUCUCUCACCAAAACUGUGGUAUUUGAGGGUCAACGUAAUUGAAGCUCAAGACCUCCAACCAAGUGAUAAAGGUCGGUAUCCAGAAGUUUUUGUGAAGGCUAUCCUGGGAAGUCAGGCCUUGAGAACAAGAAUUUCUCCUAGUAGGAGUAUCAAUCCUAUGUGGAAUGAGGACCUUAUGUUUGUAGCGGCAGAACCAUUUGAGGAGCCCUUAAUCUUGAGCGUGGAAGACAGAGUUGCACCUAACAAGGAUGAAGUAUUGGGGAGAUGUGAAAUUUCUUUGCAGUAUGUGGACAGGAGGCUUGACCACAGACCUGUUAAUACCAGGUGGAUUAAUCUGGUGAAAUAUGUUGUUGUGGAAGGGGAAAAGAAGAAAGAAAUUAAGUUUGCCAGCAGGAUUCACAUGAGAAUCUGUCUGGAGGGUGGUUAUCAUGUUCUGGAUGAAUCAACACACUAUAGUAGUGAUCUUCGGCCUACAGCCAAACAGUUGUGGAAGCAGAAUAUUGGGGUACUUGAGUUAGGUAUUCUCAAUGCACAAGGAUUGAUGCCCAUGAAGACAAAGGAUGGUCGGGGAACAACUGAUUCAUACUGUGUGGCAAAGUAUGGCCAGAAAUGGAUUCGUACACGUACCAUUAUUGACAGCUUUACCCCCAAAUGGAAUGAGCAAUAUACCUGGGAGGUUUUUGAUCCCUGUACUGUGAUAACUAUAGGGGUCUUUGAUAACAGUCAUUUACAUGGAGGGGACAAGGCUGGAGCUACCAAAGAUGCAAGAAUUGGUAAAGUAAGAAUCCGUCUUUCCACACUUGAAACUGAUAGGGUUUACACGCACUCUUAUCCUCUCCUGGUCCUGCAUCCUAGCGGUGUCAAGAAGAUGGGAGAAAUUCAUUUGGCAGUUCGUUUCACAUGCUCGUCUUUGCUCAAUAUGAUGCAUAUGUACUCACAACCUUUGCUGCCAAAGAUGCACUAUCUCCAUCCACUUACAGUUAGCCAGCUUGAUAGUUUGAGGCACCAGGCCACUCUGAUUGUGUCUACGAGGCUCACCCGAGCAGAGCCACCAUUGAGGAAGGAAGUUGUCGAAUACAUGCUAGACGUGGGAUCUCACAUGUGGAGCAUGAGAAGAAGCAAAGCUAACUUUUUCAGAAUCACGGGGGUCUUGAGUGGAUUAAUCGAUGUUGGCAAAUGGUUUGAUCAGAUAUGUAAUUGGAAAAACCCCAUCACCACAGUGCUGAUUCACAUAUUGUUUAUAAUACUGGUGCUCUACCCAGAGCUUAUCUUACCUACAAUCUUCCUGUAUCUCUUCCUGAUUGGUGUUUGGUAUUAUAGAUGGAGGCCAAGGCAUCCUCCUCACAUGGACACUCGUCUAUCACAUGCAGAGACUGCACAUCCUGAUGAGCUAGAUGAAGAGUUUGAUACAUUCCCAACUUCUCGGCCUUCUGAUAUUGUAAGGAUGAGAUAUGAUCGUUUGAGAAGUAUUGCUGGGAGGAUUCAGACUGUGGUUGGAGAUUUGGCCACUCAAGGGGAGAGACUGCAAUCUUUGCUGAGCUGGCGAGACCCAAGGGCUACAGCACUGUUUGUGAUUUUUUGUUUGGUGGCUGCCAUUGUUCUGUAUGUUACUCCUUUCCAAGUUGUUGCACUUCUCACUGGAUUUUAUAUGUUAAGACAUCCCAGGUUUCGCCACAGGCUUCCUUCAGUUCCGCUCAAUUUCUUCCGACGGUUGCCAGCAAGAACCGAUUGCAUGUUGUGAGCAAGAAGGGAUUUGUCUGCAAUCCAUUUUAGCAUUUUAUUUGACUUGUUAAGUCAGUCAACAAGAUGCAGAAAGUAAUGGAGCUUGUUUGCUUUCUAUGUUUACCAGCGGAUGUUGUUCUGGUAUGAUGUGUAUGCUUCCUCUGAAGCCUGUAAACAAGCCUUGUUCCUCCUGGAGGUCUUUUGUCUUUGUCGGUUUCUCUCUCUUUAUAGUUUAUUGAGUGAAGAGUGGUGAGUUUGGAGGGUGGCCUUUAAACGACCAGCAUCUCAAGGAAAGCAAUGUGUGAAGAGGGACCAGAUUCAGAAUAAGUUAAGGUAAGGUGGGGUUGGGUCUCUUUCUUACUCAUCACUCCCAUUUUCGACCAUUUUUGGAAUUGACCUUUCGGUGUCCAAAACUUUUAUUGAAGUGGCUUUAAAAUUCGAAAAG